AUCCAGCUGACGAGUCCCAAAUAGGACGAAACACGAGUCAAACUGUAU
rnacentral:hammerhead_ribozyme from 1 species